rnacentral:rRNA from 1 species
UACAGAGGUCUCAAGCGUUGUUCGGAUUCAUUGGGCGUAAAGGGCGCGUAGGCGGCGUGACAAGUCACUUGUGAAAUCUCCGGGCUUAACUCGGAACGGUCAAGUGAUACUGUCGUGCUAGAGUACAGAAGGGGCAACUGGAAUUCUCGGUGUAGCGGUGAAAUGCGUAGAUAUCGAGAGGAACACCUGCGGCGAAGGCGGGUUGCUGGGCUGAUACUGACGCUGAGGCGCGAAAGCUAGGGGAGCGAACGGG